rnacentral:rRNA from 1 species
GAUGAACGCUGGCGGCGUGCUUAACACAUGCAGGUCGAACGAGAAGUGGAGACGGAAACCUUCGGGCGGAAGACUUUACUUCGAGUGGCGGACGGGUGAGUAACGCGUGGGUAACCUGCCUCAUACAGGGGGAUAACAGUUGGAAACGACUGUUAAUACCGCAUAAGACCACAGCACCGCAUGGUGCGGGGGUAAAAACUCCGGUGGUAUGAGAUGGACCCGCGUUCGAUUAGCCAGUUGGCGGGGUAACGGCCCACCAAAGCGACGAUCGAUAGCCGAUCUGAGAGGAUGACCGGCCACAUUGGGACUGAGACACGGCCCAAACUCCUACGGGAGGCAGCAGUGGGGAAUAUUGCACAAUGGGGGAAACCCUGAUGCAGCGACGCCGCGUGAGUGAAGAAGUAUUUCGGUAUGUAAAGCUCUAUCAGCAGGGAAGAAAAUGACAGUACCUGAGUAAGAAGCCCCGGCUAACUACGUG